CCAAUUAUAAACAUUUAUCUGGUGCAAGUCAAAGAAAAAAGAAAGGCGAGCUUGAAGAGAAAACUCGAAAACAUCCAAAAAUUUACAAAUUUUUAAAUUCAAGCAGUUCCUCUUUAACUAAUUUUGUUUCUGGUGAGAUUGCUACACCCUCUACGUCUACGAUUGUGAGUCAAUCUCCUAGUGGUGAAAAUAUUCCUGAACCUGAAAUUGAACUUAUGGCAAAUACCGAAAUUUCCGACCUAACUGAAUGCUCAACUAAUAAAGAUGAACUCAAAUCAGAGAUACUUAUCACUGAUGAACCAGAUAUUAAUGUAAAUUUUCCUACGGAGAAAGCUAAUUUUGGCGAAGCUUUAUCAAUCCAAGAGAAAAGAUUUAUUAUAGAUAACGAAUCUUGUCGUCCACGAGGACCAUUUCCCAAAGAUGCAAACAAUAGAAGUUUUUCUUCAUUUUAUUAUUCAGAAAUAUCUAAAUCUGGCAUUAAAAUAGAAAGAUGGUGGCUAUGUUAUUCACUGAAAGUA